rnacentral:rRNA from 1 species
GACGAACGCUGGCGGCGUGCCUAAUACAUGCAAGUAGAACGCACAGUUUAUACCGUAGCUUGCUACACCAUAGACUGUGAGUUGCGAACGGGUGAGUAACGCGUAGGUAACCUGCCUGGUAGCGGGGGAUAACUAUUGGAAACGAUAGCUAAUACCGCAUAAUAUUAAUUAUUGCAUGAUAAUUAAUUGAAAGGUGCAAUUGCACCACUACCAGAUGGACCUGCGUUGUAUUAGCUAGUAGGUGAGGUAACGGCUCACCUAGGCGACGAUACAUAGCCGACCUGAGAGGGUGAUCGGCCACACUGGGACUGAGACACGGCCCAGACUCCUACGGGAGGCAGCAGUAGGGAAUCUUCGGCAAUGGACGAAAGUCUGACCGAGCAACGCCGCGUGAGUGAAGAAGGUUUUCGGAUCGUAAAGCUCUGUUGUAAGAGAAGAACGGGUGUGAGAGUGGAAAGUUCACACUGUGACGGUAUCUUACCAGAAAGGGGCGGCCAACUACGU